CAUAUAUACAUGCUUGCUAGACUUUGAGCCACACAUUUACUUUUUACUGCUUAUGAACAUUGAGUGUGGUCAAGCUGUGUAGACCCUAAGGAGCUUGUCAUGUGGUUAAAUCAAGAUUCACUUGCACGUUCACUCACACAUGCUACUUCUACUCCGGAAGUACCAUCCACAUAUAUCCAUCCAUUUCCAUCUCUAGAACCACCCAAAAAUAUUCUACUCCUAAUCCGGGAGAGAAUAGCCAAAAAUAUUUCUGUUUUCCCUUGUGAAAUAAAUGCUCAAGUUAUCUUGUUACUACCACUUGCUACAU
rnacentral:lncRNA from 1 species